UACAUGGGGUGCAAACGUUGCUCGGAAUUAUUGGGCGUAAAGCGCACGUAGGCGGUUUUGUUAAGUCGGAUGUGAAAUCCCUCGGCUCAACUGAGGAAGUGCAUCCGAAACUGGCAGGCUUGAGUACUAAAGAGGGUCGCGGAAUUCCCGGUGUAGAGGUGAAAUUCGUAGAUAUCGGGAGGAACACCGGUGGCGAAGGCGGCGACCUGGGUAGAUACUGACGCUGAGGUGCGAAAGCGUGGGGAGCAAACAGG
rnacentral:rRNA from 1 species